AACGAACGCUGCGGCGUGCCUAACACAUGCAAGUCGAACGAGAAAUCAGGCGCUCAGGCAACUGAGUGCCGGAGAGUAAAGUGGCGCACGGGUGAGUAACGCGUGGGUAAUCUACCCUUGAAUUCGGGAUAACAGUUCGAAAGGGCUGCUAAUACCGGAUAAUAUCAUAAGCAUUUCGGUGUUAAUGAUCAAAGAUGGCCUCUACAUGUAAGCUAUUGUUUAAGGAUGAGCCCGCGUACCAUUAGCUAGUUGGUGGGGUAACGGCCUACCAAGGCUGCGAUGGUUAGCUGGUCUGAGAGGAUGAUCAGCCACACUGGAACUGACACACGGUCCAGACUCCUACGGGAGGCAGCAGUGAGGAAUUUUGCGCAAUGGGGGAAACCCUGACGCAGCAACGCCGCGUGAGUGAUGAAGGCCUUUGGGUCGUAAAACUCUGUCAAGUGGGAAGAAACUAUUGGAGGUUAAUAUCCUUUGAUACUGACGGUACCACUGAAGGAAGCACCGGCUAACUCCGUGCCAGCAGCCGCGGUAAUACGGAGGGUGCAAGCGUUAUUCGGAAUUAUUGGGCGUAAAGGGCGCGUAGGCGGCCAUGUAAGUCAGAUGUGAAAGCCCGGGGCUC
rnacentral:rRNA from 1 species